AGAAUCAACGCUGGCGGCGUGCCUAACACAUGCAAGUCGAACGAGAAAGUGGAGCAAUCCAUGAGUAAAGUGGCGCACGGGUGAGUAACACGUGACUAACCUACCCUUGAGUGGGGGAUAACCUCGGGAAACCGGGGCUAAUACCGCAUGAUAUCGAGAGAUCAAAGGAGCAAUUCGCUUAAGGAGGGGGUCGCGGCUGAUUAGCUAGUUGGUAGGGUAAUGGCCUACCAAGGCUAUGAUCAGUAUCCGGCCUGAGAGGGCGCACGGACACACUGGAACUGAAACACGGUCCAGACUCCUACGGGAGGCAGCAGUGGGGAAUUUUGCGCAAUGGGGGAAACCCUGACGCAGCAACGCCGCGUGGAGGAUGAAGUCCCUUGGGACGUAAACUCCUUUCGAUCGGGACGAUAAUGACGGUACCGGAAGAAGAAGCCCCGGCUAACUUCGCGCCAGCAGCCGC
rnacentral:rRNA from 1 species